rnacentral:rRNA from 1 species
CCUACGGGUGGCAGCAGUGGGGAAUAUUGCACAAUGGGGGAAACCCUGAUGCAGCAACGCCGCGUGAGUGAAGAAGUAUUUCGGUAUGUAAAGCCCUAUCAGCAGGGAAGAAGAUGACGGUAUCUGAUUAAGAAGCCCCGGCUAACUACGUGCCAGCAGCCGCGGUAAUACGUAGGGGGCAAGCGUUACCCGGAUUUACUGGGCGUAAAGGGCGCGCAGACGGGAGAGCAAGUCUGAAGUGAAAGCCCGUGGCUCAACCCCGGAACUGCUCUGGAAACUGUUCGGCUAGAGUACUGGAGGGGCAGGCGGAAUUCUUGGUGUAGGGGUAAAAUGCGUAGAUAUUAGGAGGAACACUAAUGGCGAAGGCGACCUGCUAGACAGUAACUGACGUUGAGGCGCGAAAGCGUGGGGAGCAAACAGGAUUAGAUACCCCGGUAGUC